rnacentral:tRNA from 1 species
GCGAGUGUAGCUCAGUUGGUAGAGCGUAACCUUGCCAAGGUUAAAGUCGAGAGUUCGAGUCUCUUCACUCGCUCCA